rnacentral:rRNA from 1 species
ACGCACGCUGGCGGCAGGCCUCACACCUGCAAGUCGAGCGCGCCCUUCGGGGUGAGCGGCGGACGGGUGAGUAACGCGUGGGAACGUGCCCUUUUCUACGGAAUAGCCUCGGGAAACUGAGAGUAAUACCGUAUACGCCCUUUGGGGGAAAGAUUUAUCGGAAAAGGAUCGGCCCGCGUUGGAUUAGGUAGUUGGUGGGGUAAUGGCCUACCAAGCCGACGAUCCAUAGCUGGUUUGAGAGGAUGAUCAGCCACACUGGGACUGAGACACGGCCCAGACUCCUACGGGAGGCAGCAGUGGGGAAUCUUAGACAAUGGGGGCAACCCUGAUCUAGCCAUGCCGCGUGAGUGAUGAAGGCCUUAGGGUUGUAAAGCUCUUUCAGCUGGGAAGAUAAUGACGGUACCAGCAGAAGAAGCCCCGGCUAACUCCGUG